UGGGGAAUUUUGGACAAUGGGCGCAAGCCUGAUCCAGCCAUGCCGCGUGCGGGAAGAAGGCCUUCGGGUUGUAAACCGCUUUUGUCAGGGAAGAAAUCUUCUGAGUUAAUACCUCGGGAGGAUGACGGUACCUGAAGAAUAAGCACCGGCUAACUACGUGCCAGCAGCCGCGGUAAUAUGUAGGGUGUAAGCGUUAAUCGGAAUUACUGGGCGUAAAGCGUGCGCAGGCGGUUUUGUAAGACAGAGGUGAAAUCCCCGGGCUCAACCUGGGAACUGCCUUUGUGACUGCAAGGCUUGAGUGCGGCAGAGGGGGGAUGGAAUUCCGCGUGUAGCAGUGAAAUGCGUAGAUAUGCGGAGGAACACCGAUGGCGAAGGCAAUCCCCUGGGCCUGCACUGACGCUCAUGCACGAAAGCGUGGGGAGCAAACAGGAUUAGAUACCCUGGUAGUCCACGCCCUAAACGAUGUCAACUGGUUGUU
rnacentral:rRNA from 1 species